GAUGAACGCUAGCGGCAGGCCUAAUACAUGCAAGUCGGACGGGAUUGGAGAGCUUGCUUUCCAUGAGAGUGGCGCACGGGUGCGUAACACGUAUGUAACCUACCUUUUUCAGGGGGAUAGCACCCCGAAAGAGAGAUUAAGACCGCAUAACAUUGCGAUGUGGCAUCACAUUGUAAUCAAAUAUUUAUAGGAACAAGAUGGGCAUGCGGAACAUUAGCUAGUUGGUAAGGUAACGGCUUACCAAGGCUACGAUGUUUAGGGGAUCUGAGAGGAUGACCCCCCACACUGGUACUGAGACACGGACCAGACUCCUACGGGAGGCAGCAGUAAGGAAUAUUGGUCAAUGGGCGGAAGCCUGAACCAGCCAUGCCGCGUGCAGGAAGACGGCCCUAUGGGUUGUAAACUGCUUUUGCAGGGGAAUAAACCUUGGUACGUGUACCAAGCUGAAUGUACUCUGAGAAUAAGGAUCGGCUAACUCCGUGCCAGCCGCCGCUGUAA
rnacentral:rRNA from 1 species